ACAUUUUGGUGGAUAGUUGGGAUUGAAGUGCAUUCAAGAUAGGUCCCUGCUAGUGCUUACUGGCAACCAGAAUAAUGGCAUUAAAUUUGUUAUUGUUAUAAACCUGCUGUACCAUAAACAUAAUUUCCACAUAGAAGAGGUAUAGAAGAGAUGAGGGGUUAAAUUUAGAUUAUGGUAUAAUAGACAAUGCUGGUUACAAAUUAAUAUUUGACUAUUGCUAAGAGAAACUAAAAGGUGUGAAAUGAAACGUAAGUAUAAAUUGUCUAUUUUGCGAGUGAAGAAAAAUGAGAGGCAGAUCUGAUCUCUGGCCUGUGCAUGUUUAGAGAAGACCUAUAAAAGGCAGAGCACUGGUGCAAUGAGAGCAUUGACUGAUGGCAGUGAGCUACGCAGGGCUGUUGGGGUAAGAGGAGAUUGUGACAAUCCACCAAAGGAUUUCAGAGCACAGUGAACGACAGCAUAUCAGAAACCCAUCUCAAACCUCACACGAGCCCCAGGAGAUUCCAAACUAGCUGUUACCACACAGGGUUUUGAGUUAUAACAUAUAUUUCUAAGAAAACACCAGCUUAAAACUAUUCUGUAUAUAAUAAAGGGUUAAAGAACAAAAUAGGAACAUCUUUAUGCUGCAGUACAAGCCAAUGAUGCACAAGCUGACUGUUGUGUGCAGGUUAGGUUUGUCCACCUAAAAAUAGAUAAAGGAGAAAUAGAAAAAAAAUAAUAAUACAGCAAAUGGCAACAGGAGGAGAAAAAUGUGGAGCACACUCCAUGUAAAAAGUGCAGACAGACAGGACUCUUUAAUGUGUAGAGGAAAUAGCAGAGAGUAGAAUCCCAGGAAAGACAUCUCAAAAGCCAAGGACAUUGAGGUAAAGAAAACAAGAAUGAUUUCUUAUCCUGGAUAAUAAAAGAACUGAAGAGAAUCAAAUGGCUCUAGCAAGUGACAGACAAGGUCUUCCUGCCAGAGGAUAUUAUGGGUGCUAAAAUCACACCUGGAUUAAGAAAGUGAUAAGGGAAGUCCAUACAAGAAAAUCUCCUUUCAAAUAGUAACACCUGUAAGAGUGAAGAAGUGCUUAAAUUCUGAAUUGCCAGAGGCUGGGUGGACAUUCUGGGAAAGUAUGACUGUGUUUGCUCUGUUCUUAUACACUUCUCUGCUCUCAAACAAGUUGUAGGUUAAAUGCAUCUCUGGCCUGACUAGUACAAUUUUUGUGUUUAGACCUUUUAUUGGUCUCAGUAAAAUAUUUAGCUUGGAAAGUGUAAGCUGAUGCUACCCAUAAGUCAGAGGAUUAAACCAUGAAAAGAAAAUAAAUCUGAAAGAGGAACAGCUUUCACUUCACAGGAACAGCUUUUCUUUCAUUCCUUCAUGGUUAUCGUUACCAGGAUAUUAUAUAUAUCCACCUCUCACAGCUUUUCCUGCUCUAUUCUUUUCUACCUAACUCAUUAGCAAUUUUUUAUGCCAAAUUACACACACAAAGACUCAGUAGUCAGUCAGUAGCUAUCCUUGACCAUUUGCAGGAGGAAACAGAAGAGUAAAGGUAUUAGUGAAGACUGAUCAGAGUUUGAUUUAAGAAAUUCCAGACACUAACAACACUCUGCAGGAAUGGAUAACAAUAGCUUAGUAGAAAGGUAAAAGAGAAGCCUGUAAGGCCUUCUAUAAUUGUGGUAGAAGGUUUUGUUUUAACUCUUUCUCAGUGAAAAAUUAUCCAACCUGAUGUUUGAUCACCAAAAUGAUGAUGAUGGAUUAUUUUUCCUUAGUGACGGAUUUUUAAGGGCAUACUUCACCUUUUCAUUUAGGAAAGAAUUUAAAGGUGUUUGUUUUGUAACCACAAACUCAGCUGAAUUCUGUGUCAGAAAUGGUAUCAAAGCAUCUCAGGAAUUUGUCAUUUGUCUCUGAUUUCUCUACACCAUCUGACCUGAAUGAACAACAGAUCCCAUGAGGUAUAGCAGUGAUUCAGAACAAAAAUAGACUAUAGAACACAUCAGAAACCCAGAGAUCCCAUUUCAUAAGGUAGAAGCAUGCAGGAGCUCUCUGGCCUGAUGUUUUCUGGAAACAUUUCUGAAAUUACAUUUUGGGGCACAAACAGGGAUUUUACCUCUCUCUCAUCUUUCAUUUUUGUAGCAUAAGCCCCAAAUCUCGGGGAAGCCUAAAUGUUUUGCCUCUUUAGUAUAAAAGCUUGGUUUCUAGAGAUUAGGUGAAAAUCAGUGGCAGGCUUAGAAAGAGUUAGGAGUGUAUCUAGCAAGAUUUUUGCACAGUGACUGAGAGUCCUAGCACCUAAGCUUUUAGAGCAGGAGUAAGGUUUUGAUUAAGCUUUAAUCCUAUCACACCUUUGUGUUUUAACACAACAUGAAGUCAUAAAAGUCAACAUAUUUGAAUCUGGAAACAUCUAAGAGCUCAACAUACCAAGCAAAACAUUUUUACUUAAGGUAUUACUCUUCUCCCUGCCAUCAAAUUUUAAAUAUUGUAACUGCUGUUUCCAAACACUGCCAUUCCACUUUGCUUUAUUAGUUAGUAUUUCAGUACUAAGUAGUAAAUGGAAUUGAGUCCACUGGGGUUUGUCACACUCCGCAAUUCAGAACAGAAGAAGCUGAAGCAUCGUUCUUUAAUAGUGGCAUAAGUCCUUGUAUGAGCAAUAAAAGCUGCCACUUUCUUUAUGAGGCAAGCUAAAUGCCAUUAAAAUGAUGAAUGCACUAGUUCCAUUUUAUUUGUUCAGCCUUUCCCAGCGCUAUUCCCACAACCCUAUUUAAAUCACCAGCUUGUAUUCUUCAUAGGUUCCUAUGUGCUUGAAAUGCACAGACAUCUAAAAAAGAACUAAAAGCCCUUCAGAAUGGCCAUAAAGUUUUAUUAUUUUCUUUUCCAGUGAGCAAACAGUUAAAUAAUUGAAAUGGAGAUGAAAUACAUGGUCGAGAUUAAUCCCCAUGUUCUGAGGCAGCUCUUAAGAGAAUUUCCAGGUAGCUUAAGAGAUCAACCUGCUUUGCAGCCAAGUGCUGCUGGUUAUCUAUGGGAAGUAGAAUCUCAGACUGAUCAAUCCCUCUGGACUGCAAUACAGAACAAUAAUGUUCAGAUCAAAAGCAUCCUGAUUAAACAACCUAAUUAAGAGGUACAUGGAAGUGGUGUUGCAGCAGAUUGUUUUCCUCCUAUGAGGAUGUAAAAAAAUCUCCUAAUUUACCUUCUUUUCAAAAUUAAGGGUAAACAUUUGCUUCCAGUGACAUGUUUAUGACCUAUUAAUUAGUUCCUACAAGGAUAGUUGAAAUCCCAGCCCUCCUUUAACAUGGUUCAAGCAGCUAAAAUUACCUUCAACUAAACAUCCCAAGACAUAAACUGUGAAAGAAAUCAAACACAUCUCACUGAUGUUUGGGUGGGUUAUCAAAUACAGAUCUCCAAGGUGUUAGUUUUAAUGUCACUGGAAAGGAGGAGGGAGUGGGUAGAGAGAGAGAAAAAGAGAAAGAAAGAGAAUGCAAGUAAGCACACCAGAGCAAUUAAACCUCCAGACAGAUGAGCUGUCAACUGUCUAUAACCCAUGGUUUAUGUUAAAUGAGUACUUGAAACUCAGUGGCCAGCAUGUGCUGUAUGUCAGCGGGACAUGUAAGUCUGCUCCAGACCUUACCUAUGCAGGAGGAUUUUUAGUUCAGUCUUGAGUUUUAAAGAUACUUUGUUUAAUUCCUGGUGUAAUAGGACAGACAUGUAUGCCUAAGGAAACAGUUUAACUGGAUAAGAAAUGGUAAGAAAAAAUAGACCUGGAAUAGUCACAUGCUGAGGAUAGCACUGUAAACCUAAUAAGUGAAUCCCUACAUUUUCUAAGUUCUGUUACACACCUUACAAUUUCAAUGCAAAGAUGCAGCUUUAUGGUCACAUAAAACCAAUAUACAUUCCUGCUAUGAUCAGUGAUCAGUUGUCCUACAUCAGUUCUAGCCAUCAUACUGCCGUGAUGCAAAAAUGGGAAGCAUACAAGAGAAUGGAUGCCCUCAAGUCAUAGAAACAAGAUGAAAUUUUGCAGCACACACUACAAAGUGAGGCCCUUUGACCAUAUGCAGCCCACCUAACCAAGUAACUCAAUUUAGGAACUUAAAACUCUGCAUUCCUUCUGUAGUCAACAGGAGAGGUGAGCACUUCCAACAUCAGUUAGAACAUGAGGCAGUCUCCUCAAGCAGCUAACUGUAUUACUCCAACUCAAUAAGCAGCAAGGGCCCUGUGCUUCAACAGUUUGCUCAAAUAUGUAUCCACCCAUGGGCAACACAAACCUAUGCCCUCAGACUAAUGGCAAAAAUCUGUUAUAAAUUAGGGAUCGCCCAAUGGAUGUGGCAGAAAGGGAUAAAAUUCUGGGUUGAUUAGUCAAUCAUCGCUGGAAGUCAUUCAGUGUGAGAUGUCCCUCAUGAGGCAUUUUUAAAGAGCAAGGCCAUGAUGAGGCCAUCUGGAACACAAUGUGCAGCUCUGGACACCCAGACGCAGGGAAGAUUGAUUCAGUCUGUAACAGUGCUACAAUAAUCAAGGAAACGAAGAAUUUAUCUUCCAAAAUCAGAUUAAAAGAUGCUGGCUGGUUUAGCCCAAGAGAAUAAAGGUUGUGGAGUUUCUGACUGCUUUCUAAAAACUCAUCAUGAAGUACACAGCAAAGGCUAAGAGCUUUUUAAACUAAAAGACAGAGCUGCUACAAUAACAAAUGGCGAGACACAAGCCAUCAAGAAAUUUAGCCUGAAUAUUAGACAAAGGUUACAAACCUCCAGAGGACUAGAACAACUUUUAUUAGGGCCAACUCCACCACUCAGUUAUAUUUAUGCUGGACUAUGAUCAGUUGAUGAUUAGGAUUUCCAGCACUGCUGCCUGCGAUAGCAAGGAGUGGGACUCAUUAACUUACAGGAUCCUUUCUAAUCCAAUGCACCUUUGGCCUCAAGCAUUUCUCUUUAUGAAUUGAGCAUUUUCUCAGCAUUGCCCUGUAUUCAAUGUGUUUAUGUGUCAUGCCAGGUUUUCAAAGCCCUUCAUGCCUCACAGAGACAAAAGUCAAAUUUUCAGAAAUGGUCCACAGUCACAGGGCUGUUGUCCUUGGAUACACCUAGCUGAGUGUGCUGACACUUCAGCAGAUGGUGACAUUUUCAUUUCUUUCCUAUCAUAUGAUAAGAAAAACAGGCUCAGUCUGGCUAAGGUAGAAACAACAUGGGCCGGUUGCUCAAAAA